CAACAGUGACCUUGAGGUUAUCAAUCAACAGAGCAAAUCUCCUUGACCUAACGCCAAGACCCUUGUCCUUGAGGUCGAGCUCGAGUCCAAGAAGCUUCGUGUAUUCUCCUGAACCGUCUGCCACAAACUUCACAUGCUUGUUCUCUGGGUACGUCUUCCCCCAUGCCUUCAUCACAAACGGAUCAUUCACUGCAACAAAUCAAUGCAAAAUGGUAUCGUUGUUACAAUCAGACCAAACAUCAUAUACUUUUGAAUAUGAUGAGAAUACACACACUAUUUUAUCAACACUCACCACUAAAGCAAAUGAUCUCGUCAACACCCUUUGACUUCAGCUCCUCUGCUUUCUCGAUGAAUCCAGGCACAUGCUUCAUGCUAAUCCAGAGAAAAAUAAAACACAAGUCAACAAGAUUCAUCAGCUUAUAUAGAUCUCCACUGACAUACACAACUCAUAUAGAUCUGAAACCCCUAAUCUCAGAGACAAGAUCUGAAAAUCGAAUAAGUCUCCCAGAUCUAUUACAAGGAAAAGGUAGUGUGGGG
rnacentral:lncRNA from 1 species